rnacentral:rRNA from 1 species
ACGGGGUAGGAGCGCGUAGGUAACGUACCCUCGGGACGAGGAUAGCCACGGGAAACUGUGGGUAAUACUCGAUAACGUCGAGAGACCAAAGGUGUGAUUCCACCUGAGGAGCGGUCUGCGUAGUAUUAGCUUGUUGGUGAGGUAACGGCUCACCAAGGCGAAGAUGCUUGGGGGGUGUGAGAGCAUGGCCCCCACCACUGGGACUGAGAUACUGCCCAGACACCUACGGGUGGCUGCAGUCGAGAAUCUUCGGCAAUGGGCGAAAGCCUGACCGAGCGACGCCGCGUGUGGGAUGAAGGCCCUUGGGUUGUAAACCACUGUCAGAGGGGAUGAAGUGCAUGGGGGUUCUCCCCUGUGUUUGACAUAGCCUCAGAGGAAGCACGGGCUAAGUUCGUGCCAGCAGCCGCGGUAAUACGAACUGUGCAAACGUUAUUCGGAAUCACUGGGCUUAAAGGGUGCGUAGGCGGUUUGUUAAGUAGGGUGUGAAAGCCCCCGGCUCAACCGGGGAAUUGCGCCCUAAACUGGCGGACUAGAGUGAGAUAGGGGUGUGCGGAACUUCCGGU